GCCUGGAUAGCUCAGCUGGUAGAGCACUUCCUUGGUAAGGACGAGGUCCCGGGUUCAAAUCCCGGUCCAGGCU
rnacentral:tRNA from 1 species